rnacentral:tRNA from 1 species
GUCUCUAUAGCUCAGUUGGUAGAGCACUCGUCUAUAGACGUCUAUAGUUAACGAGAGGUCUCCAGUUCGAUUCUGGGUGGAGGCA